AACGUUCAAGGCUUUUAUGAAUGAAUUUUAUGAAGACCUUCUAAUGUGUUUUUUUAAGGAAACUGAAUUUUCAGGACGUGCAAACAGCUCAUAACAGAAGGUAAGUGUUCAGUUUGGAUUAUUCAUUAAAUACUAUUUGAAGAAAAGGCAAAUACCAUCGAGCCCAACUCCCCCCACCCAGGAGCAACUGCAACAAAAUGACACUUUUGUCAGUAUUUUCUUUCAUUUUUCAAGAAAAAGGAGCCACUUGUGUGAGCAAACACAUUAACAGGGUUAAUAACAAUGCAAUAAGAAUAUUACAUUUACAGAACAGAUUAAUACUGCUGGAUACUUUAUCCUCUUUUUAAGUAGUUUGUGUUAAAAUGUUACAUGAUUGCAUGGUGUGAAAAGUAACAGGGCAAGUAGAACCACAAACUUUUGAUAUGCAGUCAUUGUACAUCAUGUGUCUUUACUUUGAAAACAGUCCAUAAUAAUCGUUCUCAUCUACAUUUUUCUUAAAAUUCAAUAGAAAUCAGAGCCACACUGUCAUCUGUGCAGUCCUGCGGCCAGUGAAUACGAGUCUUUGCAGUCCAACCAUGAAAGUGAAGUGCAGGCGUCUGAUGAGCGAUUUUUUUGUGGCUCUGAAAACUAAACGUAACUCGAUUUGUGUAGAGGAUCUACAAAUCCUAGACUCAGAGUCAUCAGUCACACAUAUUAUUGUGCACCCUAUUAAGUAGGAAAAGGUCUGAAAUACAGAUAGAUUUCUGACAAACACAUUCUGAAAAGUUGUGUCUGUAGCUGCAAGGACAUCAUUAAAAAUCAGAAUAAUAGCUUUUGUUUUUGCUGUUCUACCUGCAGAGAGCUUCGGUAAAAUGAGUUUAUUAUUAAGACAAUGCUGUUUCAGUAUUUUCAGUGUCUGUUCGGUUGCUACACAGAGUCAGACUAAUUCGGUUUUACCUCCAACUGCAAUGGUUUUUAACAGUUAGCAGAAUAUUUUGGGUGAAAACUGCUCAUCUGCAGACAGAGUAGAUCAGAUUUCUGCACUGAUUUGAACCUAGGUUUUCCUCAUUGUAGCGUUUAUAUGUUUGCUUUAUAAUACUACAUUCAAGUGCUUUAAGAAGUUCAAAAUCUGAGACUUUUAAGUCAGUUAAUACUGCAUUCAUAUGCUAUUUUUUUAACUAAGAGAAAGACAGCUGGAGGUGUCAAAAGGCUGCAGAAAAUUGGUGACCAGUCCCUGAAGAAACAUCUGUUUUGACCAAAGUUCGUUUUAGUGAGAAAUUUGCUUAUUUUCUUCCUUUGUCAGAGUGCGAAGAGGAGUUUUAUAUUAAUCCACGUCAUUCAGAUUGUGGCAGUUGUAAACGUUUGCCUCCAACAACAAAUUUCUGAAGGCCUAAACUGC
ensembl:lncRNA